rnacentral:rRNA from 1 species
GUUGACCUCGGAUCACGCGGGGAUACCCGCUGAACUUAAGCAUAUCAAUAAGCGGAGGAAAAGAAACCAACAGGGAUUGCCUUAGUAACGGCGAGUGAAGCGGCAACAGCUCAAAUUUGAAAUCUGGUCCCCCCGGGGCCCGAGUUGUAAUUUGCAGAGGGUGCUUCGGCGUCGGCUCCGGUCCAAGUUCCUUGGAACAGGACGUCACAGAGGGUGAGAACCCCGUACGUGGCCGGAAGUCUUCGCCGUGUGAAGCCCCUUCGACGAGUCGAGUUGUUUGGGAAUGCAGCUCUAAAUGGGAGGUAAAUUUCUUCUAAAGCUAAAUACCGGCCAGAGACCGAUAGCGCACAAGUAGAGUGAUCGAAAGAUGAAAAGCACUUUGGAAAGAGAGUUAAAAAGCACGUGAAAUUGUUAAAAGGGAAGCAGUUGCAGCCAGACUUGGCCGCGGGCGUUCAACCGUGCUUCUGCACGGUGUACUCGACCGCGGUCAGGCCAGCAUCAGUUCGGGCGGCCGGAUAAAGGUCCUGGGAAUGUGGCUCCCCUCGGGGAGUGUUAUAGCCCGGGGCGUAAUACGGCCAGCCUGGACUGAGGUCCGCGCUUCGGCUAGGAUGCUGGCAUAAUGGCUGUAACUGGCCCGUCUUGAAACACGGACCAAGGAGUCUAACAUCUAUGCGAGUGUUUGGGUGUCAAACCCAUACGCGUAAUGAAAGUGAACGGAGGUGAGAGCCGCAAGGCGCAUCAUCGACCGAUCCUGAUGUCUUCGGAUGGAUUUGAGUAUGAGCAUAGCUGUUGGGACCCGAAAGAUGGUGAACUAUGCCUGAAUAGGGUGAAGCCAGAGGAAACUCUGGUGGAGGCUCGCAGCGGUUCUGACGUGCAAAUCGAUCGUCAAAUUUGGGUAUAGGGGCGAAAGACUAAUCGAACCAUUGACCUACUAGGUGGUUAACAGGCGGCUAAAAGUGCCCGCCUAGUCCCUUCACUCGGGGCGACGCUAUCAAAUUGCGGGGACAUCCUUAGAGCUCAGGCUACCGCGGCCCGCCGAAAGGCAGGGUGCAGCACCGGGGUAACGACCCAGGGGAAGGUAAAAACGCCUGAGAUUGGACAAUCCGCAGCCAAGUCCUAAACGCCCUCGGGGCGCACGGAUGCAGUUCACAGACUAGAUGGUAGCGGGUCGCCCUCAACGGGCGGCUUAAGAUAUAGUCGACUCCCCGCGGAGACGCGGGCGACGGGGCAAAGCUCGAAGGAUGGGUGAGCGGCGAGCGGCCGCGCCUGAGAGCCCGAACCCCGUCGGGAAGCGCGCGUUCGCGCCUUCC